rnacentral:tRNA from 1 species
GCAAGCGUCGCUUAGCUUGGUAGAGCGCUGGAUUGCUAAUCCAGUGUCCGAACGGAUGCGUGGGUUCAAAUCCCACCGCUUGCG